rnacentral:rRNA from 1 species
CAGUGGGGAAUAUUGGACAAUGGACCAAAGUCUGAUCCAGCAAUUCUGUGUGCACGAUGACGGUCUUAGGAUUGUAAAGUGCUUUCCAUCGGGAAAAAGAAAGUGAUGGUACCGAUAGAAGAAGCGACGGCUAAAUACGUGCCAGCAGCCGCGGUAAUACGUAUGUCGCAAGCGUUAUCCGGAUUUAUUGGGCGUAAAGCGCGUCUAGGCGGUUUGGUAAGUCUGAUGUGGAAAUGCGGGGCUCAACUCCGUAUUGCGUUGGAAACUGCCAGACUAGAGUACUGGAGAGGUGGGCGGAACUACAAGUGUAGAGGUGAAAUUCGUAGAUAUUUGUAGGAAUGCCGAUAGAGAAGUCAGCUCACUGGACAGAUA